rnacentral:rRNA from 1 species
GAUGAACGCUGGCGGCGUGCCUAAUACAUGCAAGUCGAGCGAUGCGGGGACGGGUGAGUAACACGUGGAUAACCUCCUAUAAGACUGGGAUAACUUCGGGAAACCCGAGCUAAACCCGACACUUAUAGAUGGACCUGCGCUGCAUUAGCUAGUUGGUAAGGUAACGGCUUACUAAGGCAACGAUGCAUAGCCGACCUGAGAGGGGAAUCGGCAAAACGGGAACGGAAACACGGUCCAGACUCCUACGGGGGGAAGCAGUAGGGAAUCUUCCGAAAUGGGCGAAAGCCUGACGGAGCAACGCCGCGUGAGUGAUGAAGGUUUUCGGAUCGUAAAACUCUGUUGUUAGGGAAGCGGUAUCUAACCAGAAAGCCACGGCUAACUACGUGCCAGCAGCCGCGGUAAUUC